rnacentral:lncRNA from 1 species
AUUGCUGUUAAUUCAAGGAAAAAAGGUUGCAUAAAAUCCAAUCUUUUCUAGAAAUAUAAGUGGCCUUUCCAGUACAUAACAUUUCAAAUAUCAAAGUAUAUGGUAAACAUACAAAUAAGGAGAAGGUAACAUACCUCCUAUAUACAGUACAGUCUUUUAAAUCAUAAAAUAAGCUCCAUAAAGUACAACUGGCAAGUGAUUCACAAUGCGGUCCAUACAGGGCUUAUCAAAACUCUCACUUCCAUAGCUCGAUUGCAGCUUAACAAUUAAUUUAAUAAUAUGGUCCAAAAAUACCCAAGCUUUACAGGAAGCUUCUUACUUCAAGUGUUUCCUUUUGUCUGGCAAUCUGUUAGGU